rnacentral:lncRNA from 1 species
GCCUCACAUUUUCGACGCUCUCGAGUCUCGCUGGAUACUACUUGAAAACGCAAGCUCCAUAUGUCUAAUGCUAAAAUCAGCGGGCAAGGUAUUACACGGCAUGACGGUCUGAGGAAAAUGCCGAACUUGUGAUUGAUAUGGAGGAGCACGGGAAGACGUCAGAUCUACGCGAAAAUCAUAAUUCUCAAUGAGUCAGAUCGUUAAUUCCUGUUCCUGCCUGAUUGAAACAGUUAGCUUUGUCUAGCUUCGAUACAAUUGUCCCGAUGAUGUCGUAGUGAAUAACGUGCUUGACUGUCAAGCUUGUCUCGACAGAAGACCAACUCUGCUAAGGCCCUGAACGUGCACCGACACCAUUGGUGUUAAUGUCACGGGACAGACCUCGAGGCCGUCCGGUCGUGGGCCCGAAAACAACAGGCCUGUAACGCAAAAAUGAACGGGGCCUAAACACGGAGAGUAAGUUGCAUAGUCAUGUGUUUCUUACGCAGUCUCUGGAGCCAAAGCGUAGCGACCCACUUCAUGCAUCUACAGGUCAUUUCAAAUGAACGAGAGCUGAAUUUUACGUUUACUCCAGCAACUUGUGAGUGAUUCAUAAGAUAUUAUGUGUGGCCCGUGGGAUUAGUGAAUGUACGCGUAUGGAUGAUCUUCAACUGUAAAUCGGAUGUCGAUGAAGAAAAAUUUAACUAAACAAUUUUAUUAACUAUUGGAAGAUAACUAUUGUGUUCAAUAUCCAUUGCGCGCUAUAGUCUUUUGUCCUAAUUUUUAAGUGUACUUCAAGUUGC